AGAGUUUGAUCCUGGCUCAGGAUGAACGCUAGCGGCAGGCUUAACACAUGCAAGUCGAGGGGCAGCGGGGAGGAAGCUUGCUUUCUCCGCCGGCGACCGGCGCACGGGUGAGUAACACGUAUGCAACCUGCCCCUGUCAGGGGGUCAACCCGCCGAAAGGCGGGCUAAACCCGCGUACAUGCCACCGGGGCAUCCCGGAGGCAGGAAAGGCUUCGGCCGGACAGGGAUGGGCAUGCGGCGCAUUAGGCAGUAGGCGGGGUAACGGCCCACCUAACCGACGAUGCGUAGGGGUUCUGAGAGGAAGGUCCCCCACACUGGUACUGAGACACGGACCAGACUCCUACGGGAGGCAGCAGUGAGGAAUAUUGGUCAAUGGUCGGGAGACUGAACCAGCCAAGCCGCGUGAGGGAGGAAGGUACAGAGUAUCGUAAACCUCUUUUGUCAGGGAACAAAGGCGGGGACGUGUCCCCGGAUGAGUGUACCUGAAGAAAAAGCAUCGGCUAACUCCGUGCCAGCAGCCGCGGUAAUACGGAGGAUGCGAGCGUUAUCCGGAUUUAUUGGGUUUAAAGGGUGCGCAGGCGGUCUGUUAAGUCAGCGGUCAAAGCCCGGGGCUCAACCCCGGCCCGCCGUUGAAACUGGCAGUCUCGAGUUGGAGAGAAGUAUGCGGAAUGCGCGGUGUAGCGGUGAAAUGCAUAGAUAUCGCGCAGAACUCCGAUUGCGAAGGCAGCAUGCCGGCUCCACACUGACGCUGAGGCACGAAAGCGUGGGUAUCGAACAGGAUUAGAUACCCUGGUAGUCCACGCAGUAAACGAUGAAUGCUGGCUGUCCGGGGGGACUGACCCCUGGGUGGCGAAGCGAAAGCGAUAAGCAUUCCACCUGGGGAGUACGCCGGCAACGGUGAAACUCAAAGGAAUUGACGGGGGCCCGCACAAGCGGAGGAACAUGUGGUUUAAUUCGAUGAUACGCAAGGAACCUUACCCGGGCUCAAACGGGGAGUGGCGCAGGCAGAGACGCCUGUUUCCCACGGGACACUCCCCGAGGUGCUGCAUGGUUGUCGUCAGCUCGUGCCGUGAGGUGUCGGCUUAAGUGCCAUAACGAGCGCAACCCCCGCGUGCAGUUGCUAACAGUCAACGCUGAGGACUCUGCACGGACUGCCGGCGCAAGCCGCGAGGAAGGCGGGGAUGACGUCAAAUCAGCACGGCCCUUACGUCCGGGGCGACACACGUGUUACAAUGGGUGGUACAGCGGGAAGCCAGGCGGCGACGCCGAGCGGAACCCGAAAUCCACUCUCAGUUCGGAUCGGAGUCUGCAACCCGACUCCGUGAAGCUGGAUUCGCUAGUAAUCGCGCAUCAGCCAUGGCGCGGUGAAUACGUUCCCGGGCCUUGCACUCACCGCCCGUCA
rnacentral:rRNA from 1 species